UACGGAGGGUGCGAGCGUUGUUCGGAAUCAUUGGGCGUAAAGGGCGUGUAGGUGGUCUGUUAAGUCAUGUGUGAAAGCCCCCAGCUCAACUGGGGAAGUGCGCAUGAAACUGACAGGCUAGAGUACCGAAGAGGAAGGUGGAAUUCCCGGUGUAGCGGUGAAAUGCGUAAAUAUCUGGAGGAACACCGGUGGCGAAGGCGGCAUCCUGGACCGGCAUUGACGCUGAGGCGCGAAAGCCAGGG
rnacentral:rRNA from 1 species